UCAUCUCAUCUUCUUCUUAUCAUUGAAAUUUCUAAUGGCUUAAUAGAUUGAAUUCUUGGAGUUCACUCAAAGAAAGUACUAGAUGGAACUUUUUAGUCAAAGAAAAAAAAGAGAGAUUCCAUAACGUGAAAGCAACAGAGCAGUAGUAGUACAUAAGCCGAAAGGUCAAUAUCGUCAGGCCAUAGUCAAACUCUGAGCGCAUGACUGUAAUAUCAGGGAGAAACAAAGGGCAAUAGUUUGUUUUCCUUUUAUAUAUACCAAGGGACAACCUGCAACUGCUUAUCACACAACUAUAACGUUCUUCAACAAAUACUUCCUCUGUUUUCUCUUUUAUUCUCUAAUCUCUCAAGCCUGUAGAUCUUUGCAAAAAAAAAUGGCAGGUGCAAGGGGAGAAAUGAUCAACGGUGGGAAUUAUUCGCCGAGGAUUGCUGGACGUCCGAUCCCAAGGAGGGGUCAAGUGAAAAUUGCUAUCUUAAUGGGGAUUGCCCAUUCUUUUGCUUCUAUUUUCUCUGCAAGUAGUCGCAGGCAAUCUGCAUCUCACUUGUCCUAGGUUGUUUAAUUUCUCCCAAAAAGUAAGAGAACUGGGAGGGUAAACGUUGCCCGUCCUAGGAAAGAUUUUCAGUUGAUCUUCUGAUUGAUUAUCAUCUCUCGGUACUUUGAAUUUGAAGAAAGGCAAUUUUCAAGUUUAAAAAGAUCUGGUAGCAAAGCAAUUAUAUUUAGUCAUACUGGGCGAUGAAUUAAGAUGACACCGAGUUACAUAAAGGUGGUUGGGGAUUUGUCAAGCGAUUGCUUUUAUCAAAUUCUUGCAAGUUAUGACCUUUGGAAAAACAUAACAUAGAAAAGUACGCUACGCAAUUUCAAUAUAGCAGAAGGCCUAAAUUCAGGACAGAAUAUCAAGUAGAAACUCCCGAGGUAUGCUCUAGAUCCGAACAUGACCAAGAGAAGUUUGUGCAGAUUUGAAAACGGUUUGUUUCCAAGGCCACAACACAAAAGCAAGCAACUGCUAAACGUUGAUUUGCUCAUUUGUUGAUAGCAGAUAAAACAAAGAGAACAUUUUUGUCAAAUUUUUGUGCCAGUUUCAUGUUGUGCUAUUUUCUUUUUAAUGGCAUUGAAAAUUCGUCUAAUGCAUUAAAGUUAUUCUGGCAAGCCAAAUGCAACCGCAAAGAAACCACGGUAAUGAAUCAGAUAAACCCUUGUAGUUCAAAAGCUUGGUAUCUCAAGUUCCAUCCUUGUAGUGCAAAGGUGUGAGGUAAAGUUCCAUCCUUCUAUGACAGUUUCAUGCAUUGGUAUUUCAGUUCCAUCCUUGUAGCGCAAAAGUUGUGAGUUAAAGUCUUGGAUGGCACAAGUGACCUCAGGAAUCUUGACAGUUCCCUAAAACACGACAUAAUUAGUUUAUUUAAAUUUCAGGUGAUUUUCUAUAGUUUAAUGAGCAAAGGAUUGCCGAGGUUUCUGCUUAUUUGAAUAGUCUUACGUGCAAGCAUCAUCUGGGAAUUUCAAUGAAGUGAGCUUUGUCAAUGCCGGAUUUAGCCAGGCCAGACACAGAGGGACGAAACGUCCCCAUUGGGGUAGUGAGGUGGCAAACUUUUAACCGCUGUUGCAGCCUGGGGGGCUGUAAAAGGGCCUAAGAAAUUAGGCAGUGAAUAGCUGCCAAUGCUUUUUUCUUCUUUUGCGUAUUCUUUAACAUGACUUGAAACUGGUUCCCAUGAAGAUUUUAAAUGUGUUACAACAUUCCGAAACAGAAUACAGAUCUUUUGAAAAGCUUAAA